rnacentral:rRNA from 2 species
GUCUACGGCCAUACCACCCUGAACGCGCCCGAUCUCGUCUGAUCUCGGAAGCUAAGCAGGGUCGGGCCUGGUUAGUACUUGGAUGGGAGACUAUUCUAAAGCUAAAAUAGUAUCUC